rnacentral:rRNA from 1 species
UACGGGGGGUGCGAGCGUUGUCCGGAUUCACUGGGCGUAAAGGGCGCGUAGGCGGCCUAGUCAGUCGGUCGUAUAAGGGCGGGGCUUACCCUCGUUAGGCGACCGGGACGGGUGGGCUGGAGCGCGGCAGAGGGACGUGGAAUGCCGGGUGUAGUGGUGAAAUGCGUAGAGAUCCGGCGGAACACCGGUGGCGAAGGCGGCGUCCUGGGCCGUGGCUGACGCUGAGGCGCGAGAGCGUGGGGAGCGAACCGG